rnacentral:piRNA from 1 species
UCAUGUGUGCUGUGAGGGCUUUAAGAGCUU